rnacentral:rRNA from 1 species
UACAGAGGUCUCAAGCGUUGUUCGGAUUUAUUGGGCGUAAAGAGCUCGUAGGCGGCUUGUCGCGUCGUCCGUGAAAACCCGCAGCUCAACUGUGGGCUUGCGGUCGAUACGGGCAGGCUAGAGUUCGGUAGGGGAGACUGGAAUUCCUGGUGUAGCGGUGAAAUGCGCAGAUAUCAGGAGGAACACCAGUGGCGAAGGCGGGUCUCUGGGCCGAUACUGACGCUGAGGAGCGAAAGCGUGGGGAGCGAACAGG